AAUAAGGGUAGUUUUGCACUGUUUAUCUCUCACGUUUGACUGUUCGUUUUAUUUGAAAUUUUUUUACGAUUAAUAUUUUUAAUAUUAUUAGAUGAUAAAACAUGAAUAAUAUUUUAUGUGUGACUAACUUAUUUUAAUUUUCUCAUAAAUUUUUUAAAUAAGAUGACUAGUCAAACUUGGUGGUAGUAGUUACU
rfam:Oryza barthii chromosome 2, whole genome shotgun sequence.